rnacentral:rRNA from 1 species
AAACUUUCAACAACGGAUCUCUUGGUUCUGGCAUCGAUGAAGAACGCAGCGAAAUGCGAUAAGUAAUGUGAAUUGCAGAAUUCAGUGAAUCAUCGAAUCUUUGAACGCACAUUGCGCCCCUCGGCAUUCCGGGGGGCAUGCCUGUUCGAGCGUCAUU